GACGGAGGGUGCAAGCGUUAUUCGGAAUCAUUGGGCGUAAAGAGCGUGUAGGCGGCCGGUUAAGUCAGGUGUGAAAGCCCGGGGCUCAACCUCGGAAGUGCACUUGAAACUGGUCGGCUUGAGUUCGGGAGAGGGAAGCGGAAUUCCUGGUGUAGAGGUGAAAUUCGUAGAUAUCAGGAGGAACACCGGUGGCGAAGGCGGCUUCCUGGACCGAAACUGAAGCUGAGACACGAAAGCGUGGGGAGCAAUCAGG
rnacentral:rRNA from 1 species